rnacentral:lncRNA from 1 species
CGACACAUACGGCACUGGCAGGAUCCCUGACAAGGAGAUCCUCAAGAUUGUGAAGGAGAACUUCGACUUCAGGCCUGGCAUGAUCAUCAUCAACCUUGACCUCAAGAAAGGCGGCAACGGACGCUACCUCAAGACGGCGGCUUACGGUCACUUCGGAAGGGACGACCCAGACUUCACCUGGGAGGUGGUGAAGCCCCUCAAGUGGGAGAAGCCUUCUGCCUAAAAGC